GAACGCUAGCUACAGGCUUAACACAUGCAAGUCGAGGGGCAGCAUGGUCUUAGCUUGCUAAGGCCGAUGGCGACCGGCGCACGGGUGAGUAACACGUAUCCAACCUGCCGUCUACUCUUGGACAGCCUUCUGAAAGGAAGAUUAAUACAAGAUGGCAUCAUGAGUCCGCAUGUUCACAUGAUUAAAGGUAUUCCGGUAGACGAUGGGGAUGCGUUCCAUUAGAUAGUAGGCGGGGUAACGGCCCACCUAGUCUUCGAUGGAUAGGGGUUCUGAGAGGAAGGUCCCCCACAUUGGAACUGAGACACGGUCCAAACUCCUACGGGAGGCAGCAGUGAGGAAUAUUGGUCAAUGGGCGAGAGCCUGAACCAGCCAAGUAGCGUGAAGGAUGACUGCCCUAUGGGUUGUAAACUUCUUUUAUAAAGGAAUAAAGUCGGGUAUGCAUACCCGUUUGCAUGUACUUUAUGAAUAAGGAUCGGCUAACUCCGUGCCAGCAGCCGCGGUAAUACGGAGGAUCCGAGCGUUAUCCGGAUUUAUUGGGUUUAAAGGGAGCGUAGAUGGAUGUUUAAGUCAGUUGUGAAAGUUUGCGGCUCAACCGUAAAACUGCAGUUGAUACUGGAUAUCUUGAGUGCAGUUGAGGCAGGCGGAAUUCGUGGUGUAGCGGUGAAAUGCUUAGAUAUCACGAAGAACUCCGAUUGCGAAGGCAGCCUGCUAAGCUGCAACUGACAUUGAGGCUCGAAAGUGUGGGUAUCAAACAGGAUUAGAUACCCUGGUAGUCCACACGGUAAACGAUGAAUACUCGCUGUUUGCGAUAUACGGCAAGCGGCCAAGCGAAAGCGUUAAGUAUUCCACCUGGGGAGUACGCCGGCAACGGUGAAACUCAAAGGAAUUGACGGGGGCCCGCACAAGCGGAGGAACAUGUGGUUUAAUUCGAUGAUACGCGAGGAACCUUACCCGGGCUUAAAUUGCAGAUGAAUUACGGUGAAAGCCGUAAGCCGCAAGGCAUCUGUGAAGGUGCUGCAUGGUUGUCGUCAGCUCGUGCCGUGAGGUGUCGGCUUAAGUGCCAUAACGAGCGCAACCCUUGUUGUCAGUUACUAACAGGUUCCGCUGAGGACUCUGACAAGACUGCCAUCGUAAGAUGUGAGGAAGGUGGGGAUGACGUCAAAUCAGCACGGCCCUUACGUCCGGGGCUACACACGUGUUACAAUGGGGGGUACAGAGGGCCGCUACCACGCGAGUGGAUGCCAAUCCCAAAAACCUCUCUCAGUUCGGACUGGAGUCUGCAACCCGACUCCACGAAGCUGGAUUCGCUAGUAAUCGCGCAUCAGCCACGGCGCGGUGAAUACGUUCCCGGGCCUUGUACACACCGCCCGUCAAGCCAUGGGAGCCGGGGGUACCUGAAGUGCGUAACCGCGAGGAGCGCCCUAGGGUAAAACUGAAG
rnacentral:rRNA from 1 species